UUUUGCAGGCGAACAUGAAGCUGCUCUAGCAGUUCAAGAUCCUAAAUAGUCAGCGGCUGUGGCUCUCAGUACGAUUGAGCUGGGUGUUUUGUGCGACUGAUCAGUGCUCAUACAUUCCUUCACGCAUUUGUGGCACUUAAGCAUUCAGGUUGUUUACAAUUCAAAUUUUUUAUCUUUAACUACGCUUUUCCUCUACCUUGGAUAUCCUCUCAGAGAUUUCAGAGGAAGCUCAUGAAUGUCGGGAGAAUUGGAUAAAUCUUGGAUAUUUGAGAAUGAUAGAUUUGGUAAAGUAUACAGAGAUGGGGUGAAAUUUUCUUUCAAUAUGCGUAUACACAUGGUUCUUGUAGAUGAACCACAUUUGGAUUGUUUGCUUAACGUUUAUGGUUCCAAGAGACCAAGAAUGGUGCCAAAGAAAACGAGAAUAGCCAUAAUGUAGGUUCUGAUGAAGAGCCUUGGAUCAUUUGCAUCAAACAGAGGAAGAUCAUGGUGUGACAUCUGAGACAACUCGAACUUUUCUUGAAACGGAACAGGGGUAUACUUCUCUUGUGAAAGAAGACUUAUUGCAGAUAAACUUUGUUAACUGCAUUUUCAUUUCUCUGUGGUGUUAUUACUGGCAGGAUUCUUCGUGUUCAUAGUUAAUGAACUUUGUUAUAGUUGAUGUUUCAGAGUGGAUAUAAAGCAUGAUCACAUGAGUGACUAAAUUG